AGAGUUUGAUCCUGGCUCAGGAUGAACGCUGGCGGCGUGCUUAACACAUGCAAGUCGAGCGAAGCGGUUGUGCGGAAUUUUUCGGAAGGAAGCAUAACUGACUGAGCGGCGGACGGGUGAGUAACGCGUGGAUAACCUGCCUCAUACAGGGGGAUAACAGUUAGAAAUGACUGCUAAUACCGCAUAAGCGCACAGAGAUGCAUGUCUCGGUGUGAAAAGCUGAGGCGGUAUGAGAUGGAUCCGCGUCUGAUUAGCUGGUUGGCGGGGUAGAGGCCCACCAAGGCGACGAUCAGUAGCCGACCUGAGAGGGUGGCCGGCCACAUUGGGACUGAGACACGGCCCAAACUCCUACGGGAGGCAGCAGUGGGGGAUAUUGCACAAUGGGGGAAACCCUGAUGCAGCAACGCCGCGUGAGUGAAGAAGUAUUUCGGUAUGUAAAGCUCUAUCAGCAGGGAAGAGAAUGACGGUACCUGACUAAGAAGCCCCGGCUAACUACGUGCCAGCAACCGCGGUAAUACGUAGGGGGCGAGCGUUAUCCGGAUUUACUGGGUGUAAAGGGAG
rnacentral:rRNA from 1 species